UGAUAUUGGAUGCAAACUGCUGAUAAACUCCACAGAAGACGAAGAAGAUGACAGAAAACUGUGAAAAACAGCAAUUACAUGGAAGCUACACGAAGAAGAGGUCUGGAAAAUGAAUUCUGUUUUCGGGAUACAAAGGUCAGAGCAUCUUGAUCAGAGGUCUGCCAUGGAUUCCCCCGAGGAGAGGCACAUUGUAGGACCCCUUGUACACAGUUCAUUUGAAAGGAUCAUUUGACUCACCUGUGUUAUUGUCAUCAUCAACCAACAUUGUUAAUAAACAUUACAUGACAUUCUUAAGUGAGAUUACAUUAGGUGAGAUUACAUUAGGUUACAUUAGGUGAGAUUACAUUAGGUGAGAUUACAUUAGGUUACAUUAGGUGAGAUUACAUUAGGUUACAUUAGGUGAGAUUACAUUAGGUUACAUUAGGUGAGAUUACAUUAGGUUACAUUAGGUGAGAUUACAUUAGGUUACAUUAGGUGAGAUUACAUUAGGUGAGAUUACAUUAGGUGAGAUUACAUUAGGUUACAUUAGGUGAGAUUACAUUAGGUGAGAUUACAUUAGGUUACAUUAGGCUGCUACCACACCUGCAGUGCUAGCCACAGUAUCUUUUUCAGAAGACUGUAAGACCAUUUCAGAGCGGAUCAGAAUCCCACUUGUGAUUGGUGGAUUAUGUUUGUCUCCUAACGUUGCUUAAUUAAACUUGGAAUAUACUUCAUGCUCGGGAGGAAGAAAUUCAACAACUAUCUCUGGUUUUCAAUGCUCACAACUCUCAAAUCAACCACACACUUCUAGCACAUCAUGUUUCUGUUCUAUUAAUUAAUAGCGGUAUCUACCCUGUAUAUAAUCUGAACGUUUCAGAACUCUAUGACCUCAAUGUUAAAAUAGGUACUUUUUUUCUCCAUUUCCUGCUUUCAGUUUAGUUGUGUUUUACUUGAGGAAGGAUGCAAGCUGGGUUACACCAGUCUCAGAAGUUGUAUUUCUGUUUAGCUUAAAAGUAAUCUACCAUUAGGCUGCAAGUGUUGUAAAAGGUGUUGUUUUAAAAAAAAAAGUCCAGUGUACAAGGGGUCAAAAUGAGUCUCUCUGGGGAGAAUGAGGAGGCUGGCCCUCCCUCUAGUAUCUGUGAAGAGACUGAAGAGGAAGCCACUGCUUCUAGAAUGAGUCCCUCAGGGAGUGAGGGAGAAAUGUCCCUUAAAAGGAGUUUUCUUACAGAACAGGACACUGACAGGGAACAUAAGAGGAUCAAGACAGACAGACCAGUCUCGCCUGCACCUAGUGGUGUCUCCAUGAAGAGUGACCGAUCGAUGGGACUUCCUAUUCUCUUUAGGAAAGCAGAACUUUCCACGGAGCAAAGGUGAGUUCUGAGACUAUUCUUUC